GCCAAGAACCAGAAGUCUCCAGACAGAAGCUCUGGUGGACAGCCAGCCCAAGGUGUGCCCUGCUGAGCAUCUGCAUCUUCAUAGAAAUCUACUUGCCCUCCAACACUUCAAAACCAGGUGAUUUCAUUGCUUUUUAAAAAGUAGGAUUUUGAGGGUAGGGGUAGGGGAACGGCACAGAACUUUGGUUGUGGGUAUGGUGUCGAGCUAAACCCCAUAUAAUGUUUUAGUCUUGUAAACAAUUAUUAAAUCACUCAAAGUUUUUUUUUUUUUUUUUUUUUUAAUUACUGCCCAAAAGGGAAGAAAAGAGGUCUAGUUUCUCUUGGGAUAAAGUCACACCUGGCUGCCGCCACGGCUGGAGGACAGAAACUUGUCUUGCAAUUCGAGUCUCUGCAGUGCAAGUCUGUGGUGCUUCGUGAAGAGCAGGGAGAAACAGGAAAGUCGCCCAGAAGCUUCUUGCUGCCUGCAUGAUGCGUGUGAGGGUCUACAUUUCCCAAGCUCUUGGAAAGAAUCAAGAGAAGCAGAAAAGGAUCAGGGCCAGAAGCCUCGAAGGUUGUCAGUCUAGCAGAUAACACUGCCCCGGGAACCAUGGGAGCAGAACUACCUGGUGGGGACCACCCUUGAAGCCACUUAUUUCACUGAAGUUCUCUUCUCUGAGGAAUGUCUCCACUCAAGUUCCAUCCCGAAGUGCUCUGUUGCAUUCUUUCCUCUGUGGGGAUGAAUGAGAAGUCAGCUUGACACCUUGGACAGGUAAAAGCAAUGCUUCUUCCUGAGUUGGGCAGUGGUCUGAAUUCUGCCUCUGAAUCCUAAA